rnacentral:rRNA from 1 species
UACAGAGGGUGCGAGCGUUAAUCGGAAUUACUGGGCGUAAAGCGUGCGUAGACGGUAGCGUAAGUCAGAUGUGAAAGCCCCGGGCUCAACCUGGGAACUGCAUUUGAGACUGCUCUGCUCGGGUGCGGAAGAGGGAAGCGGAAUUUCCGGUGUAGCGGUGAAAUGCGUAGAUAUCGGAAAGAACACCAACGGCGAAAGGCAACUCUGCUGGGCCGACACUGACACUGGAGAGACGAAAGCUAGGGGAGCGAAUGGG